rnacentral:lncRNA from 1 species
GUGAUCUUUAAGAUCUGUGGAAGAAAUAGAAGAUAGUGCUAUGACUUCCAAGAUGUGUCUCAUGGGAAGGAUCACUUAAAUGACACUUGUUGGUUGGUAAUGACUCUUUUUGAUGUUUGCUCACUUCUUCAAGCAAAGGUUUGUUAUGAGAGAGAUCUACUUUACUUCUGAAUAACCUGUGUCUGGUUAGGAAGACUAAGAUGGAAAGAAAUGGCUUCAUCCCAUUCAAGAUGACACAUGCAGCUCAAAAAAUGGGAACUUUGGGCUGCUUGGAAAUCAAGGUCACCUGAAGAAAUCUUUACACACCUCCAAUGUUUCCUGAAGGGACAUUUUGGAUCAGAAGAAAACAGAGAUCUAAUCUAAUGGUAACUUGUUUGUUUCUUGGGUUCAUUACUUGAUGUUUUCUGACAUUAACUGUAACAUGCUCCAGUAAGAGAAAUCACCAUUGCUUGUUACAAUGGCA